UACAGAGGGGGCUAGCGUUAUUCGGAAUUAUUGGGCGUAAAGGGCGCGUAGGCGGCCAUGCGUGUCUUCCGUGAAAUCCCUCGGCUUAACUGAGGACGUGCGGAAGAAACUGCAAGGCUCGAGUCCGGGAGAGGGGGGUGGAAUUCCCAGUGUAGCGGUGAAAUGCGUAGAUAUUGGGAGGAGCACCGGUGGCGAAGGCGGCCCCCUGGACCGGUACUGACGCUGAGGCGCGAAAGCGUGGGUAGCAAACGGG
rnacentral:rRNA from 1 species